UACGUAGGGUGCAAGCGUUGUCCGGAAUUAUUGGGCGUAAAGAGCUCGUAGGCGGUCUGUCGCGUCGGCUGUGAAAACCCGGGGCUCAACCCCGGGCCUGCAGUCGAUACGGGCAGACUAGAGUGCGGUAGGGGAGACUGGAAUUCCAGGUGUAGCGGUGAAAUGCGUAGAUAUCUGGAAGAACACCGGUGGUGAAGGCGGUCAACUGGCCCUAAACUGACGCUCAGGCACGAAAGCGUGGGGAUCAAACAGG
rnacentral:rRNA from 1 species